rnacentral:rRNA from 1 species
AGAUAUUUUACAAUUUAUUUUCUAAAAGGUUAAAGGACUAUUUUAUGGUUGAGAUGUUGUCAUUAGCAGCGGGUUUUCACAGAAAGACUUUAGGUAAUUAUUUCAGUGUCAUCUUAGAAAAACUUGUAGGCAAAGGUAGGCCUGUAGUUUUAAUAAAACCAUUAACAGGUAGGGUUGCUUACCUUUUGCAUAAUGAAGCUACAAGUUUUAUCUUUAGGCGUAUCCCCGAAGGUGAGAGAUCAGGGAAAAAUUUGUUGAAGAACUAAUUUGUAGUGGUGAAAAACUCCUUUAAAAAAUUUUUUCUAGAGGUGAAAUGCCAUCACGAGCUUAUCAAGGAUAUCUGGGUUUAUAGCUAAGAUUAUAAAGUAAAAUAAAUAUUCGGGAUAAGCUGGGUAUUAAAAAAUAAACAAUUAUUUCUUUUUUAAAGUAAGCUUAAAAGCAGCUACCUGGAGUGAGGUCUUUACCGGCUAAAUAUCUACUGGUGGGGUAAAAAUUCCAGGAUAGGCUUUAAUUUUCAUAAAAUAGUUAGUGUUACUUUUGAUGUAAAAAAAUGAGUAUUUUUUAAAUUUUUUAGUUAAAAUAAAAAAGGUCUAGGAAGAACUCGGCAAAAAGGAUUAGGACUGUUUAUUAAAAACAUAGCGUAGAGAGGCUAAUAAUUCUACGUCAAGCGCUGCCCGGUGCUGUAAUGGUAAACGGCGGCCUUAGCGUGAGGGUCUUAAGGUAGCAUAAUAAUUCGCUCUCUUAAUUGGAGGCAGGUAUGAACGGUUUUUCAUAGUUUAGCUUUCUUCUUCAUGAGGUUUGAAGUUGGCGUCCUAGUGAAGAUACUUGAAUUUUUUAGGAAGACAAAAAGACCCUAGAAGCUCUGACUAACGUCUUGGCUGGGAGAGUUCCUGAGAAAUAUCAGAAGUCCUUUAUCGGCUUAAGUUGACUCUUAUAUGAGGGGAGGGAGAUCCCUAUUACAAGGAAUUUUUGGGAAACAGAAGAAAAGUUACUCUAGGGGUAACAGGCUAAUCCAGCUUGAGAGUUCAUAUCGGCAGCUGGGCUUAGUACCUCGAUGUUGGCUUUAGUGGGCUCAAUUGUGCAGCAGCAAUUAGAGCAGGUCUGUUCGACCUUUAAAAACUACCUUGAGCUGAGUUUAGAACGUAGAAAUACAGUUCGGUUCCUAUCUCCUUAGCUUAUUACCCCUUUUGUACGAAAGGACUUAGGGAAAAAGAUAAGUACGAGGCUUGAACAUGUUAAGGUUUAAAGUUAUCUAAGUAGGGUUUUAGGCUUAAAGAGCUGGAAGAGUUCACAUUUCUUUAGUGGGGGUUUAAAUCCUCUUCCUGCUUAUAAAAUAAAUCCUUAUAGGGGUUAUUAUACUAAAAUUAUUGCAAAUUUCUAAGGCUAUGGAAAUUAUUCUAACCUUUAAGCAUUAAUAUUUUUAGGGCCAUAGUUUUUAGCUUUUAUUCAUUUACUACACACUACUGUUUUAAUUUAUAUUUUUUUGAAAUGGUUGGUAGCGACUGUAAUAACAAACAAAACCACCAAGGGUGAUAAGAUCAUGUUAAAUAAAAGUGAGUCUUUUUCUCUUUCUAGCCCAGGGGCAGUAAAAUUU